rnacentral:tRNA from 1 species
AGUUAAAAAGCUUAAAAGAAAAGUAUAUGUUUUGAAAACAUAAGAAAGAAGUUAGAAUCUUCUAUUAACUU